rnacentral:rRNA from 1 species
AGUAGCGCACUGGUGAGUAACACGUGGGAACGUACCUUUUGGUGGGGAACAACAGUUGGAAACGACUGCUAAUACCGCAUAAGCCCUGAGGGGGAAAGAUUUAUCGCCGAAAGAACGGCCCGCGGAAGAUUAGGUAGUUGGUGGGGUAACGGCCUACCAAGCCGACGAUCUAUAGCUGGUCUGAGAGGACGAUCAGCCACAUUGGAACUGAGACACGGUCCAAACUCCUACGGGAGGCAGCAGUGAGGAAUAUUGGGCAAUGGAGGCAACUCUGACCCAGCCAUGCCGCGUGAGUGAAGAAGGUUUUCGGAUUGUAAAGCUCUUUCGGGUGUGACGAUGAUGACGGUAGCACCUAAAGAAGCCCCGGCUAACUUCGUGCCAGCAGCCGCGGUAAUACGAAGGGGGCAAGCGUUGUUCGGAAUUACUGGGCGUAAAGGGAGUGUAGGCGGUUAUGUAAGAUAGUGGUGAAAUCCCAGAGCUUAACUUUGGAAUUGCCAUUAUGACUAUGUGGCUAGAAUUACAGAGAGGAUAGUGGAAUACCCAGUGUAGAGGUGAAAUUCGUAGAUAUUGGGUAGAACACCAGUGGCGAAGGCG